GGACCCGGCUCUGGCCCAGCCCGCGGGGCAGCAAGCGAGGGGCUCCCGGCUGCAGGUGCCACCGAGCCCCGGCUGGGGGAGCGCCUGGAUCCAGGGGGUCCCGCACAGGGCCAGGAGCAAGGAUGGGUUUUGUUCCUGAUGCACCCCCAGUGCCAGCCCUCAGUCUGGCUCUUGGUCAGAUGUGGGAUGCUGCAGCCCCUGUGCUGGAGGCAGCAGCAUGCUGGGAACCCUCCUCAGCCUGAUGGGUCCCCUCCCACUUCUCCAGACCCCUCAUCUGUUCCCCUCCCAAGGCCAGGAGGUUUGGUGGUUCCUGCAUUGCUCCAGGGCUGCUGCGACUACUGAGGACCUGGUGGAUGGCAAUGUCCACAGUUGGGUCUGUCACUUGUGUGCUCAGGGUCACCCCAUGGGCUGUGCCCCAAUAAAGUCCUGCUGUCCUGGGC